CCUACGGGGCGCAGCAGUGAGGAAUAUUGGUCAAUGGGCGGAAGCCUGAACCAGCCAAGUCGCGUGAGGGAAUAAGGCCCUACGGGUCGUAAACCUCUUUUGCCGGGGAGCAAGGGCGGGGACGUGUCCCGGCCCGGAGAGUACCCGGAGAAAAAGCAUCGGCUAACUCCGUGCCAGCAGCCGCGGUAAUACGGAGGAUGCGAGCGUUAUCCGGAUUUAUUGGGUUUAAAGGGUGCGUAGGCGGAAUGCCAAGUCAGCGGUAAAAUCGCGGGGCUCAACCUCGCUCCGCCGUUGAAACUGGCGUU
rnacentral:rRNA from 1 species